rnacentral:sRNA from 1 species
UUGUUCUCCAGGGCAGAAAUGAAUUGAAGCAACGGACGGCAUUCUGCGUAGAUAACAUACAUUCAUGCGUAUCCAUAUAUACUAGUAUGAUCUAUUUAUUUGAGAUUACCCUCGUCGGCUCCGUCCCCUGUGAGGUGAUGCAACUUGCAAUUCCAUCCAAAUAACACUACUAGUAGCUGGCCAAUCAAUGCUUUCUUCUUUUCCAUUGGGCAACGCAGCCAGCCAACCUGCCUCCUGCGGGAUCUAGUUUUGCCCUGAGAUUGACGCGCAUGGGUGAUGAGAGAGACUUGUUUCCCUCGUGUCAGUUAUCCUUCAUGUGGCGGUAGGGAAGAAGAAAGAGGAGGUUCUAAGGAGAAGAAGAAGGAUAAAACAAGAGAAGAGAAGAAAAACCACAGGCCCGUACGUCCCAAUAUAUUUUCGUUAUAUUGAGAUUGGUGGGUGCUUUCAACUCUUGCUGCGAUCUGCAGCAGUCGAGAUGGCCUGGUUUUGUUUGUUUGCGAAUCAUCUGCGAUUGACGAUGUUAAAAGGCCUGUCAUAUCUAGACCUCUAGUGCCCCGGCGUAAGAAAUAUUGAUAGAUACAUACAUGCACAAUCGUGCAUUCAGGAAGCAGAAAAAAAAAAAAAAAGUAAAGCAAAGCAAUAGAUGGAUG